CCUACGGGUGGCAGCAGUAGGGAAUAUUGCUCAAUGGCGGCAACGCUGAAGCAGCAACGCCGCGUGGAGGAUGAAGGUUUUAGGAUUGUAAACUCCUUUUGUGAGAGAAGAUAAUGACGGUAUCUCACGAAUAAGCACCGGCUAACUCCGUGCCAGCAGCCGCGGUAAUACGGAGGGUGCAAGCGUUACUCGGAAUCACUGGGCGUAAAGAGUGCGCAGGCGGGCUUGUAAGUCAGAUGUGAAAUCCUGUGGCUUAACUACAGAACUGCAUUUGAAACUAUGAGUCGUGAGUGUGGGAGAGGUAGGUGGAAUGCGUGGUGUAGGGGUAAAAUGCGUAGAUAUCAAGAGGAAUACUCAUUGCGAAGGCGACCUACUGGAACAUUACUGACGCUCAUGCACGAAAGCGUGGGGAGCAAACAGGAUUAGAUACCCCAGUAGUC
rnacentral:rRNA from 1 species